AAUGAACGCUGGCGGCAGGCCUAACACAUGCAAGUCGAACGGGUCCUUCGGGACUAGUGGCGGACGGGUGAGUAACGCGUGGGAACAUACCCCUUUCUACGGAAUAGCCUCGGGAAACUGGGAGUAAUACCGUAUACGCCCUUCGGGGGAAAGAUUUAUCGGUGAGGGAUUGGCCCGCGUUGGAUUAGGUAGUUGGUGGGGUAAUGGCCUACCAAGCCGACGAUCCAUAGCUGGUUUGAGAGGAUGAUCAGCCACACUGGGACUGAGACACGGCCCAGACUCCUACGGGAGGCAGCAGUGGGGAAUCUUAGACAAUGGGCGCAAGCCUGAUCUAGCCAUGCCGCGUGAUCGAUGAAGGCCUUAGGGUUGUAAAGAUCUUUCAGAUGGGAAGAUAAUGACGGUACCAUCAG
rnacentral:rRNA from 1 species